AAGGGAAAAUAAGUGAAAAUUCAAAAAUCAAGUGAAAAAAGGUGGUGAGUCAAUUGUUUCGGGUAAGAGACUGCACCCGAGGGCGGAAGAUAGGAGUAUUUCUACUCCUAAUACUGUUCAGUAUAGACUGUAGAUAGCUGAUCUCAUCGAGGACU
rnacentral:sRNA from 1 species